rnacentral:misc_RNA from 1 species
AUCGACGACAUCAGCCUGCUGAUGAGCUCCCACACGAAUUGCUUGAUUCAUUGUCGAAGACGUUUUUCCUGGUCAGAAUCUGGAAAUGAGCAUUCGCAUCGAAUGUUGAUUUCUGGCUUUUGUCAGAUCGUUCUUUAAAAAUUCGGAUAUGUGAUAGAUAUAGACUGAACACCAGUUUCACUGCUGGUGGAUCAGGCUAAGGUAAAAUUUGUGAGUUCUGCUCGAAAGAGCAACGUACGAAUUUUCGGCGAAUGUCGUCUUCACAGUAUAACCAGAUUGCUUGGGGUUAUAU